CGGGUGGGGGGGCGGGGGGGGGGUCGGGUCUCUUUCCACUUGUCUGUGCACAGAUCUGAGUCAGGGGUGAGUGAAGGGGUGAGUCACAUCUGUGGUCUGUGCUGAAGAAACGUCUUCUCAGGGUUUGUUGGUGCAGGAAGUAAAUAAAUAAAUAAAUAUGUUGUAUAUAAAAUAUAUCGAGUGUCAGAAACAGAGACAUUUGUACGACAAAUCAGGUUUUCACUUCUCAAAGUCGGUUUAAAACUGAAUUACAAAUGCACCGCGAUCUGAACUCAGAUCAGUUGUAUAAAGUUGUAAAUAUAUCUGUAAAUAUAUACGGCCUGGUUUUUAAUGUAUGAUGUUAUAAAUGCAGCGUUGUUGUUUUAUACAAAUAAAACUACUUUUUUUUCAUAUUUUCAUAUUGUGGUGCAAUAAAUGCAAUAAGUAAUUCUGGGAUUUUGUAACGAGACCCGUAUGUUGAAACACCUUCUGAGUCAUCGACUUCUGAACAACACAUUCAGUGUUUAACAUCAAAUCAUGUUUAGUUUUUUUUUAAAUUAGGCAAUAAAAAGAACUUCUUUCAGCAGAUGUUUUUUUUACUUCCUGUGAGACCAUGAGAUCACAUCUUACUUCCUCAUUUGUGUUGUACACAGUGUGUACUUCGUGUACUGUGUGCACUGAGGUGCUUUGUGAAAACUGUUGCUUCAGUGCUCUGAGCUGAGGUUUCUAUGUUUAAACCAAAUAAGCUGAUUGGUCCAGCAGUGACCAAAACAAAAACAUUUUCUCUGUUUCACUUUAAGCUGUGGUGCUGAACAUAAAACCGGCCCAAAGAGGUCGAGGGGGCGAGGGGGCGGGGAGGUUAUUGCGGGCCCCCUUGAUGAAAGUUUGAAAAUAAAAAAAUAUAUAUAAACAUCACAUAUAUUUUUUUUUGUAAAUGUAUUAAUAUUUCAUUAAACACCAAUAAAUAAUAAUAAUAAAUAUCUAAUAUUCUUGUACUUCUUUGCAUGAAAACAAAGGGGAAAAACAUGGACAUAAAAACAUUGUGACUCUCUGGGGUUAAUCAGUGACAUCACACUCACCUGGUCCCUGUCGUUACCUGUCUGUCAGUCUCACUCAUGUCACCUGGUGGCCGGGGUAUAUAAGUACCUCUACCCUACUCUGUGCUCUGCCUGGUUUCGUCUCUGUUCCUGCCUGGUCUGUGGUGAACUGACAGAUGUGUUUUGUGUUUUGACUCCACCUGAUGACAUUUACUGCCAGAAAAAGACCUAGUCCUUCAGCAGGCGCUCAGCAGCUCUGGAGGUUUGGUUUGCAAUCCCUCGUCUUUAUCUCCCCACCUACGCCACCAGCCCGACCCUCGAGUUCCCAUCAGGCCUUUGGUUUCUGUUGGAGUGUGUGAGAAGUGAGACAUGUAGUGGUGGGUUUAGGCAGUGAAGAGAAACAUGGACGACCGUGCCGGGCAGUUUGACUGGACUUUAAUAUUUAGGCUUGAAUUUUUUUUUUUUAGUAGAACACUGAACUUUAAAUGACAACAGGAAGAGAAAGUCUUUGACUCACAUUAACAAUUAGUAACUGUUGGGUUUUGUUGAUCAAAAGUAAAAACAUAAGAACGAACAAACCUGAAGUUCAAUGAAACAGGACACAAUUAAAAAUGAGAAGUCGUUACAAAAAACAAACAAACAAACAAAAAAAACAGAGACGUGUCAACAGUUUAAACGUGUUUAAAACAACAAACCUUUCCAUGGAUCCAGCCGUCCAUCUAUUGAUUAUUCCCAUUUGUCCCAAGAACUUGUAGCAUUUGAAGGCAACACUGUAAGAUAUGUUUUCUGCCGAGAAAAAACAGAUGUACUGGAAAUACGAGAGAGAAGAAGAAGAAGCAACACUUCAGGUCUAAAACUGCUGCAACGCUGUUUGUGUUCACAGUGGUUUUUCAUUCAGGUCUGGAUCUUCAGAGUCCAUCAGGGAGGGGGGGUAGGUGGGGGGGGAUUAGACCCUGAUUGGUCCCUGAAGGCCAGCCCUGAUAGUGCUGUGUGUCAAUAUAAAAAUAAAAAAACUUAAAACAAAACAAAUGUUAAAGUGGCUAACACAGCGUUAACAAGGCACUUUUUUUCCCCGUAGUAUUCUUUAAAGACUCCAGUUGUUCACACCAUUCACACUGUGAUUCACACCGUGAUUCACUGAGUCUUUUCUUCUUCUAAAUUCAUUAUUUUUCUAAACCUGUAAAAAAAAAAAAA